GAUGAACGCUGGCGGCGUGCCUAAUACAUGCAAGUCGAGCGAACAGAUGAGGAGCUUGCUCCUCUGACGUUAGCGGCGGACGGGUGAGUAACACGUGGAUAACCUACCUAUAAGACUGGGAUAACUUCGGGAAACCGGAGCUAAUACCGGAUAAUAUAUUGAACCGCAUGGUUCAAUAGUGAAAGACGGUUUUGCUUUCACUUAUAGAUGGAUCCGCGCCGCAUUAGCUAGUUGGUAAGGUAACGGCUUACCAAGGCAACGAUGCGUAGCCGACCUGAGAGGGUGAUCGGCCACACUGGAACUGAGACACGGUCCAGACUCCUACGAGAGGCAGCAGUAGGGAAUCGUCCGCAAUGGGCGAAAGCCUGACGGAGCAACGCCGCGUGAGUGAUGAAGGUCUUCGGAUCGUAAAACUCUGUUAUUAGGGAAGAACAAAUGUGUAAGUAACUAUGCACGUCUUGACGGUACCUAAUCAGAAAGCCACGGCUAACUACGUG
rnacentral:rRNA from 1 species